AUCCUACGGGAGGCAGCAGUGGGGAAUAUUGCACAAUGGGCGCAAGCCUGAUGCAGCCAUGCCGCGUGUAUGAAGAAGGCCUUCGGGUUGUAAAGGUACUUUCAGCAGUGAGGAAGGUGGAUAUGUUAAUAGCAUAUUCAUUUGACGUUAGCUGCAGAAGAAGCACCGGCUAACUCCGUGCCAGCAGCCGCGGUAAUACGGAGGGUGCGAGCGUUAAUCGGAAUUACUGGGCGUAAAGCGCAUGCAGGUGGUUUGUUAAGUCAGAUGUGAAAGCCCGGGGCUCAACCUCGGAAUUGCAUUUGAAACUGGCAAACUAGAGUACUGUAGAGGGGGUAGAAUUUCAGGUGUAGCGGUGAAAUGCGUAGAGAUCUGAAGGAAUACCGGUGGCGAAGGCGGCCCCCUGGACAGAUACUGACACUCAGAUGCGAAAGCGUGGGGAGCAAACAGGAUUAGAUACCCUGGUAG
rnacentral:rRNA from 1 species